rnacentral:tRNA from 1 species
GUGCGUGUGGCUCAGUGGAAGAGCCUCUGUUUGAAAUGCAGACGGUUUCAGGUUUGUUUCCCGGCCUGUCCA